UAUAUAUAUAUAUAUAUAUAUAUAUAUAUAUAUGUGUGUGUGUGUGUGUGUGUGUGUGUGUGUGUGUGUGAGAGGGAGAGAGAGAGAGAGAGAGAAUGAAGUGGAGGGUUGGGGGACAGGUGUCACCCUAAGGUUCCCCCAACCUUCCUUUAAUGUAAUAGAAGAAAAUAAAAAUAGAUUAUAUGAAACAAUCGUUUCUCUUUAAAAACUUAAACUGCUAGAAACUAAUAUUUUUUAUAUCUAUUUUCAAUAGAAGGCCUAGUCCUUUCGGAUUCGCCUCAUUUGCAUCCCUAAUCUUUAACAGGAUUUUGCAUUGGUUGGCAAUUUUUUUGGUUGUGUUAUUAUCAUCCUACGUACAACCACAUAUAGGAAAGAUCGAGACAUUUUUAUGUAGCUUAUAUUUCGCUAUUUAAAAUACUACUUAUCAUUAGUCAGUCUUUUACCUAUGACAUUUUAUGAAUCUUUUAAUAUUUAAAAAUUAAUGUCUCACUUUAGAUUCUAUGCUUGAAAUUUUGAAAAGCCAAAAUACUAAUUAUUUAAAGAACCAUAACAAUAUUUUUUUCAUAUUUUUGGUGUAAUGUGGCGUCAAUUAGUAUUCUUUUUGUUCGUUAUUGCGGUGAAGAAAUAUUAUGUUUGAUUCAUGUACAUAUAAUAUCAUUAGAAAGAACAAAAUAUUAUAUUUACUUUCGUAUGUAAUAUAACAUUUUAUAUCUCACAAUGAAUCAAUUACGAUAUAUAUUUUUUACAAUAUCAUAAAAAAUAAUAAAUAUAUUUUUAUAUACUUUCAUCUCAAUUUUAUUUUAUAUUAUAAUUAUAAUAUUAGAUAGACUUUUUUAUUUUUUUUUAUAGUG
rnacentral:lncRNA from 1 species